AAAAUUUAUUUCUAUGCUACCGACUUAGGUUUGGACCUAUGAGGUCACACACAUUAGAGUUCAUGAUUUGAUCGGAUGGUUGAUCAAUGAUUAAGAAUGGUUUUAGGGUUAAACGAUCAAUACGAUUGACAUUUAACCUAGUGCAAGUGUUGCAGGAGGAUCGAUUAGCAAUUUGAUUACUAAUUGACUUAAUUUGAUUAAG
rnacentral:lncRNA from 1 species